rnacentral:rRNA from 1 species
ACGGGUGAGUAAUAUAUCGGAACGUGCCCAGUCGUGGGGGAUAACGUAGCGAAAGUUACGCUAAUACCGCAUACGAUCUACGGAUGAAAGCGGGGGAUCGCAAGACCUCGCGCGAUUGGAGCGGCCGAUAUCAGAUUAGGUAGUUGGUGGGGUAAAGGCUCACCAAGCCAACGAUCUGUAGCUGGUCUGAGAGGACGACCAGCCACACUGGGACUGAGACACGGCCCAGACUCCUACGGGAGGCAGCAGUGGGGAAUUUUGGACAAUAGGCGAAAGCCUGAUCCAGCCAUUCCGCGUGCAGGACGAAGGCCUUCGGGUUGUAAACUGCUUUUGUACGGAACGAAAAAGCCUUGGCUAAUACCCAAGGUCCAUGACGGUACCGUAAGGAUAAGCACCGGCUAACUACGUGCCAGCAGCCGCGGUAAUACGUCGGGCGCAAGCGUUAAUCGGAAUUACUG